rnacentral:lncRNA from 10 species
GGUUUGAUUCCACUUAAUAGCCACAUGUCUUUGGGCAAGUUGUUUGACCUCUAAGUGAAACAGCCUCAUUGUCUGGAGUCACACCCGAGGUUCAUUUUCUCAUGGCCACGGAGAACAAUAAUGAGGACACAUAAAGAUUGAGGUUGAGAGCGGAAGUUUAAUAUGCAAAAGAAAGAGAAGAGUUCUCUGCUGCAGAGAGGGGUCUCAGAAAAAUGGGUUGCCGGAUCCGCGGUGAAAUGCAGGAGGUUUUAUAGAUGAGCUGGUGGGGAGGCGGCGUCUGAUCUACAUAGGCAAGAAAGGGCAAGAAAGACUGGUUAGACCAGUUGUGCUAUUUGCAUAGGGCACGAAUCUCUGGUAUCCCCCAUCCUAACCUUUUUUUAUUAUCCAGGCGCGUCUCUGCCUGAGGUGCACCAUGUUGCCCAUUUCUUUAUUACUGUACACGUGAUAACAAAAAAAGAGAAGAUGGAGCCUCCAUGUUGGACAUGGCCGCCCCCAGAAUACCAGAGUGGACUACAAAGACCCUGAGGGAGUGUGUCCUAACAGUUGGGCCUAAUGGUGAAAUUUUACAGCCUUGCCUUGCACAGUCCCUCUCACAGCCACACUAUCUCCUAUCUCCACUCCAGAUCUCCAUCUUCAGCCUAGAUCUCUUCAUUGGCUUUUGGAUUUGUACAUACAGAUGUCUACCAAGGAACUACAUCUAGAAGUACCUCAGGCAUCUCGAAGUCCAAAACAAAACCUAUUUACCCCACCAAACCUAUUCUUUCUCCCACAUUGUCUACCUCAGUUAAUAAUAUCACCCUCCCUCCAGUCACUCAAGCACAACCUGGUGUGUUCUCUGUGUUCUGGCUCUUUAAUGCUACAAAAUAAACCUCCCCAAAACUCAGUGGUGCAGCAAUUUCUUACUGUCCUUCCUGAUUCUGGAGGUCCAUUGGCUCAGGCAGGUAGUUCUUGUUGGGUUAUCUUAGGUCAUUAAGGACAGAUGUUGUCUGGGGCUGCCGUCAUCUCAUGGCUCAGCUGGACUAGCUGCCCAAGAUGGCUCACUCCUGUGGCUGGUGGGUGAUGCUGGCUGGUAGCUAGGAGCUCAGCUGGGUGGUUUGGGCUUCUCACG